CUCUAUCUAAACAUAUCAGUAAAUCUGAGAGGAAGCAUGACCUUGUGAUUGCUUCAUAUGUGCUGGGAGAGGUACCAUCACUGAACGACCGGGUUACUGUAGUUCGCCAACUUUGGGAUCUGACACGGGAUGUGCUGGUUCUAGUUGAACCAGGGACACCACAUGGAUCUAAUAUAAUCUCUCAGAUGCGAUCUCACAUUUUGUGGAUGGAAAACAGGAAAUUUCGUAAAUUGGAGAAGGCUUGUAAAGACUUAGUGGACCUCAGAAGUGGUGCAUUUAUUGUUGCUCCUUGUCCUCAUGAUGGGCGGUGUCCUUUGGAGAAAUCUGGAAAAUACUGUCAUUUUGUUCAGCGUCUACAGAGGACAUCAUCACAGCGGGCAUACAAGGUUCUUUCUUAGUCAAUCUUUGUAUUGUCACCAUGAAAUAUUUAUCUUUAAUAUGCUGCUUUGUUGAGCAUAUAUCAUCCAAUUGUCUCUCACGGGGUUAAUUCUCCUGUCUUCCUUCCCAUCCCCCUCCCCCCUCCUUGUGCACGUCUUUAGGUGUUGAAAAAUGAUUUAGCUUCAGUAAUAAUUACUGCAUAAUGAUUUUGGCACUUUCAAGAUGCAUGAAUAUUAAAGGUCAGUACAUUGGUAUGUGCAUACAUGCUUUCAUGAAUGGCUAACUACCAUGGACAU